AAGGAUCAUUACAGAAUUGAAGAGUGCUUGAGUGCAUUUCUUUUACACACGUGUUUUUUUCUAAUUUUGAAAACUUUGCCUUGGCAGUGGAAGCUUCUGCUGCCAGAGACUAAAACUCAACCAAACUUUUUAUUAAAGUCAACCGAUUUAUUAAAAUAAUCAAAACUUUCAACAACGGAUCUCUUGGUUCUCGCAUCGAUGAAGAACGCAGCGAAAUGCGAUAAGUAAUAUGAAUUGCAGAUAUUCGUGAAUCAUCGAAUCUUUGAACGCACAUUGCGCCCUCUGGUAUUCCAGAGGGCAUGCCUGUUUGAGCGUCAUUUCUCCCUCAAACCCCUGGGGUUUGGUGUUGAGCGAUACGACGGGUUUGCUUGAAAGAAAGUAAGAAUCGACAAUGUAUUAGGUUUUUUUUUUAUUAUCCACUCGUUGGUGAUUCUGAAACGUCUUCCAAAUUCGACCUCAAAUCAGGUAGGACUACCCGCUGAACUUAA
rnacentral:rRNA from 1 species